rnacentral:rRNA from 1 species
GAUGAACGCUGGCGGCGUGCCUAAUACAUGCAAGUCGAGCGAACGGACGAGAAGCUUGCUUCUCUGAUGUUAGCGGCGGACGGGUGAGUAACACGUGGAUAACCUACCUAUAAGACUGGGAUAACUUCGGGAAACCGGAGCUAAUACCGGAUGAUAUUUUGAACCGCAUGGUUCAAAAGUGAAAGACGGUCUUGCUGUCACUUAUAGAUGGAUCCGCGCUGCAUUAGAUAGUUGGUAAGGUAACGGCUUACCAAGGCAACGAUGCAUAGCCGACCUGAGAGGGUGAUCGGCGACACUGGAACUGAGACACGGACCAGACUCCUACGGGAGGCAGCAGUAGGGAAUCUUCCGCAAUGGGCGAAAGCCUGACGGAGCAACGCCGCGUGAGUGAUGAAGGUCUUCGGAUCGUAAAACUCUGUUAUUAGGGAAGAACAUAUGUGUAAGUAAAUGUGCACAUCUUGACGGUACCUAAUCAGAAAGCCACGGCUAACUACGUG